UACGGAGGUGGCAAGCGUUGUUCGGAAUCAUUGGGCUUAAAGGGCGUGUAGGCGGGGCGUUAAGUGUCGGGUGAAAUCCCCGGGCUCAACCCGGGAACUGUCCGGCAAACUGGCGCUCUCGAGGCAGGUAGAGGUGACUGGAACGACGGGUGGAGCGGUGAAAUGCGUAGAUAUCCGUUGGAACGCCGGAGGCGAAAGCGGGUCACUGGGCCUGUCCUGACGCUGAGACGCGAAAGCGUGGGUAGCAAACAGG
rnacentral:rRNA from 1 species